AGCAAUACUAAGUUCAGUGGCGGACGGGUGCGUAACACGUGAACAAUCUGCCCGGAAGAGGGGGAUAGCCCAGGGAAACUUGGAUUAAUACCCCGUGUGGUACAGGUGGGCAUCCAUCUGACACCAAAGGUGCUGCAAGGUGCCGCUUCCGGAUGAGUUCGCGCCCAUCAGCUUGUUGGCGGGGUAACGGCCCACCAAGGCAAUGACGGGUAGCUGGUCUGAGAGGAUGACCAGCCACACUGGAACUGAGACACGGUCCAGACACCUACGGGUGGCAGCAGUCGAGAAUCAUUCACAAUGGGCGAAAGCCUGAUGGUGUGACGCCGCGUGGAGGAUGAAGGUCUUCGGAUUGUAAACUCCUGUCAAGUGAGAGUAAAGCCGGGCGUUAACUGCGUGCCGGUUUGAGAGUAUCACUAGAGGAAGAGACGGCUAACUCUGUGCCAGCAGCCGCGGUAAUACAGAGGUCUCAAGCGUUGUUCGGAAUCACUGGGCGUAAAGGGUGCGUAGGCUGCACGGUAAGUCAGAGGUGAAAUCCCGGAGCUCAACUUCGGAAUUGCCUCCGAUACUGCCGUGCUUGAGGACUGGAGAGGAGAUUGGAAUUCACAGUGGAGCAGUGAAAUGCGUAGAUAUUGUGAGGAACACUAGUGGCGAAGGCGAAUCUCUGGACAGUUCCUGACGCUGAGGCACGAAGGCCAGGGGAGCAAACGGGAUUAGAUACCCCGGUAGUCCUGGCAGUAAACGGUGCACGCUUGGUGUGGCAGGAUUCGACCCCUGCCGUGC
rnacentral:rRNA from 1 species